rnacentral:rRNA from 1 species
UACAGAGGGUGCAAGCGUUAAUCGGAAUUACUGGGCGUAAAGCGCGCGUAGGUGGUUUGUUAAGUUGGAUGUGAAAUCCCCGGGCUCAACCUGGGAACUGCAUUCAAAACUGACAAGCUAGAGUAUGGUAGAGGGUGGUGGAAUUUCCUGUGUAGCGGUGAAAUGCGUAGAUAUAGGAAGGAACACCAGUGGCGAAGGCGACCACCUGGACUGAUACUGACCACUGAGGUGCGAAAGCGUGGGGAGCAAACAGG